AUAAAACAAGAACAACAAUGAAUAAGCAAUUGACAAAUACAUAUUGGUGGUGGCGCCCGUUACAACUCCAGCAGUCGUAAGGGAGCAGCGCUCGUAUGUAUAUAUGUCAUAGAAUAUAAAUACUAAAGGAAAAAAG
rnacentral:ncRNA from 1 species